rnacentral:rRNA from 1 species
GAUGAACGCUGGCGGCGUGCCUAAUACAUGCAAGUCGAGCGAACGGACGAGAAGCUUGCUUCUCUGAUGUUAGCGGCGGACGGGUGAGUAACACGUGGAUAACCUACCUAUAAGACUGGGAUAACUUCGGGAAACCGGAGCUAAUACCGGAUAAUAUUUUGAACCGCAUGGUUCAAAAGUGAAAGACGGUCUUGCUGUCACUUAUAGAUGGAUCCGCGCUGCAUUAGCUAGUUGGUAAGGUAACGGCUUACCAAGGCAACGAUGCAUAGCCGACCUGAGAGGGUGAUCGGCCACACUGGAACUGAGACACGGUCCAGACUCCUACGGGAGGCAGCAGUAGGGAAUCUUCCGCAAUGGGCGAAAGCCUGACGGAGCAACGCCGCGUGAGUGAUGAAGGUCUUCGGAUCGUAAAACUCUGUUAGUAGGGAAGAACAUAUGUGUAAGUAACUGUGCACGUCUUGACGGUACCUAAUCAGAAAGCCACGGCUAACUACGUG